rnacentral:lncRNA from 1 species
GUUGAACCAAGCUGAGCUGAGUUGAGCUGAGCUGGGUUGAGCUGAGUUGAGCCAAGCUGAGUGAAGAUGAGUUGAGUUCAGCUGAGCUGAGCUGAGAUGAGUUGAGUUCAGCUGAGCUGAGCUGAGUUGAGCUGAGCUGAGCCAAGCUGAGUUGAGCUGAGCUGAGCUAAGCUGAUUUGAGCUGAGCUGAGCUGAGCCGAGCUGAGUUGAGUUGAGCUAAGCCAAGCUGAAAUGAGCUGAGCUGAGCCAAAUUGAGCUGAGUUGAACUGAGCCGAAUUGAGCUGAGUUGAGCUGAGCUGAGCCAAAUUGAGCUGAGUUGAACUGAGCCGAAUUGAGCUGAGUUGAGCUGAGCUGAGCCGAAUUGAGCUGAGUUGAGCUGAGCUGAGCUGAGUUAAGCUGAGCUGAGUUGGAAAGACAAAUCCUACCCUCUUAGAAUCCCUGGGGAUGAGGCACCCUUUCUGAUGCCAGAGAUUGAGUUUGUUAUUCUCAAAACUGUUUCUGGCAACUGAGAAAGAGUCAUGCUUUACUUGUGAUGAGACAUCCCUGAAAAGCACAUCUAGGUCCUCUCUGAUCCUCAGAGGAGCACUCUCACGAGUGUUCCUAUAAAGCCCCUCCCUCUGGCCCGCCCCUGGGCCGCCCCCUUGUCCUGUGCACCUUCCCACCCCUACUCCUCAUCCCCACGUCUCCUCUCUGCUAUCACUCCUCUUGUCCCAUGGAUGGGAAUGACUUCCCAGAGCCUUCUCC